AUGAGUGGAGACAGGAUGAGCAGCUACUACAUGUUGUGGUACCGGCAGGGACCACGUGGCACUCUGGACUGGAUUUACGGGGAGGGUGAUGAGUAUGGAGAAGGUUUCCAGGGUCGCUUUAAGGGAUUAGUGGAGAGCUCCCAGAACAGAUUCACGCUGCAGAUCCAGGCAGCAAAGCAAGGGGAUGAAGCAGUGUAUUACUGUGCUGCUAGACUCACCCUGGAGCAGCUCUGCAGCAGAGGGAAACAAAAAACAACUGCUAGAGAAUACAGACUUCUCAGUGUGUCUUUCUAG